GGAUGUGGCGAGCGAGGAAAUGCUGGUAGCCUAUUCUUUAUGAAUAUUUCUAAAAGAGCCGGCGAACGUAACACAGCUCCUUUUGCUAUGGAUGCUUCUUUGCCGAAGUUUAUAUAGGCCUACUUUGCUACACUGUUACAAUGUAUCGCCUCAAGAGCGCGGAUCACUACGUAGCCUAGUCGUCUUUUCUCACACUCGCAUCAUUGUUGCCGCGGUGCAGCGAGGACACGAUAGUUACAGGGGGAGACAGACAAACACAGCGUGACUGCUCGGGACUUGAACUUGAACUUCAUUUUGAAAUUGGCGUCCAUGUGUAAUCGAGUGCUGGCUGCUCCACCUCGGACACUGAAGAAGUGGACAUUUCAGAUCAACAGAAAGUAAAAGAAUUGAAGAAUGCAUAUUAUAGAUGUUGUUAUAACAGGAUAACUACACUAGGUUCUGGAUCUACUACCCUGGUGGAAAAUAAGGCCUGUCUGGAUUUCAACAUCCUGGAUUUCGCAUCCUUAGUUGGUGUGUGCUGCUGACUGUCUACCCAUGUCCGAUUUGAGGUAAGUGGUACAUUUCUAAGUGUGCUUCCUUGCGUGAAUGUGUGUAAACUAGUCUGUUUAAACCACACA